rnacentral:misc_RNA from 1 species
UUUCCGUAGGUGAACCUGCGGAAGGAUCAUUACUGAGUGAGGGCCCUCUGGGUCCUACCUCCCACCCGUGUUUAUUAUACCUUGUUACUUCGGUGAGCCCGCCUCACGGCCGCCGGGGGGCAUCUGCCCCCGGGCCCGCGCCCACCGAAGACACCUAGAACUCUGUAUGAAGAUUGCAGUCUGAGCAAAAACUAAAUAAGUUAAAACUUUCAACAACGGAUCUCUUGGUUCCG